UACGGAGGGUGCAAGCGUUAUCCGGAUUUAUUGGGUUUAAAGGGUCCGUAGGCGGACAAUUAAGUCAGUGGUGAAAUCCUGCGGCUCAACCGUAGAACUGCCAUUGAUACUGGUUGUCUAGAGUAUAGUUGAGGUGGGCGGAAUGUGACAUGUAGCGGUGAAAUGCAUAGAUAUGUCACAGAACACCUAUUGCGAAGGCAGCUCACUAAGCUAUUACUGACGCUGAGGGACGAAAGCGUGGGGAGCGAACAGG
rnacentral:misc_RNA from 1 species